UGCAGCAUGGCCCCAAACAGCAGAGCAGAUUUGGUUGCAUGUUAUGGAAAAUGGUGAUUGUCUGCUGCAAAUAAGGAUCAAGAGAGACAGAGAGGGAUGAUCAAGCUCAUGAUGCAUAAAUGUACUUAUGGAGAAGCUGAACUUGACCCAACAUGGCCUGUAUCACAGGGCUGUUAAAGGAGGGAGGCAACAAGUAUGUCACACUGGGGAAAAAAACUCAUCACUGAAGGCUUGAAGCCAGUGGAUAACAUGGACAAAGAAAUUGUGAAUAGACUAAGAGCUGUUAUGAGGAGGAGAAAUAGAUGUUAAAUAAGCAGCAUGAUUGCAUAAGCUUGAUUUCUGCUAAAUAUUUUAAUUCUCUGUGCCAACUCUGGACCAGGAGGAAAUAUGUCAUCAGCCAUGCUAAAACCAUUGAAAUAUCUGGGUAAGAAAUCAUCCUUAAGUCUCAACAAAUCAUCUUUAUACAGCAAUGCGUGUUAAGAAUUAAUUUAAGAAAUGAUCCUCAAGAGGCCAGAUGUGAACACUGUGCCAUCCUAAUCUAUUUUUUCCUGACUAUUAGGUUGAUAAUGGGGAUUCCUUUGCACAGUCAUUAUGCAUUGUUGUCAGU